UGGUGGCGAUAGCGAAGAGGUCACACCCGUUCCCAUACCGAACACGGAAGUUAAGCUCUUCAGCGCCGAUGGUAGUCGGGGGUUUCCCCCUGGAAAGCUCAGGUGG
rnacentral:rRNA from 1 species